GACGAACGCUGGCGGCGUGCCUAAUACAUGCAAGUCGAACGCAUUUUCUUUCACCGUAGCUUGCUACACCGAAAGAAAAUGAGUGGCGAACGGGUGAGUAACACGUGGGUAACCUGCCCAUCAGCGGGGGAUAACACUUGGAAACAGGUGCUAAUACCGCAUAAUUCCAUUUACCGCAUGGUAAAUGGAUGAAAGGCGCUUUUGCGUCACUGAUGGAUGGACCCGCGGUGCAUUAGCUAGUUGGUGGGGUAACGGCCUACCAAGGCUGCGAUGCAUAGCCGACCUGAGAGGGUGAUCGGCCACACUGGGACUGAGACACGGCCCAGACUCCUACGGGAGGCAGCAGUAGGGAAUCUUCGGCAAUGGACGCAAGUCUGACCGAGCAACGCCGCGUGAGUGAAGAAGGUUUUCGGAUCGUAAAACUCUGUUGUUAGAGAAGAACAAGGAUGAGAGUGGAAAGCUCAUCCCUUGACGGUAUCUAACCAGAAAGCCACGGCUAACUACGUG
rnacentral:rRNA from 1 species